rnacentral:lncRNA from 1 species
UUUAAAUGAAAAGAUUUUAUAAAUUGUCUUGAAACGAAAUAACGAUUUUGAAAAUAGAGUAAUUGGAGACCACCGGUAUGUUGUAAAUUUAUGAUUGGAAAUUGAUGGCUUAUGUUAUAUUGUUAUUGUGUUGGCAUGACUGGCUGGGCUGUGUUUUAUGAAUUGUAUGAAUUGUUUUAUUUUACCCUUGCAGGCUGGGUAGUAAAAUAUUAGCCCUGUCAUGCUAUCAAAAUUUUAUUGUAUGGUGGGUUUAGCUUGCUGCAGUAGGCGGAUUCUGUGGACCAACCUAUUAGAGGGGCACG